GGUCCUGGGGUGUCAGCACGUGAAGUUGCAAACUUCAAGAAGCAGAGUAGUUUCUGCCGGGGCUU
rnacentral:tRNA from 1 species